rnacentral:rRNA from 1 species
UACGAAGGGGGGCUAGCGUUGCUCGGAAUUACUGGGCGUAAAGGGCGCGUAGGCGGACAGUUUAGUCAGAGGUGAAAGCCCAGGGCUCAACCCCUGGAAUUGCCUUUGAUACUGGCUGUCUUGAGUACGGGAGAGGUGUGUGGAACUCCGAGUGUAGAGGUGAAAUUCGUAGAUAUUCGGAAGAACACCAGUGGCGAAGGCGACACACUGGCCCGUUACUGACGCCUGAGGCGCGAAAGCGUGGGG